AACGAACGCUGGCGGCGUGCUUAACACAUGCAAGUCGAACGGGAGUAUUGAAGAAGCUUGCUUUAGAGAUACUUUAGUGGCGGACGGGUGAGUAACGCGUGAGGAGCUGUCCGAUGCAGGGGGACAACAGUUGGAAACGACUGCUAAUACCCCAUAAGCCGAGGGGUAAAAGGAUUUAUCCGGCAAUGGAGGUACUCGCGUCCUAUCAGCUAGUAGGUGAGGUAACGGCUCACCUAGGCGAAGACGGGUAGCCGGCCUGAGAGGGCGAACGGCCACACUGGAACUGAGAUACGGUCCAGACUCCUACGGGAGGCAGCAGUGGGGAAUAUUGGGCAAUGGGGGGAACCCUGACCCAGCGACGCCGCGUGGGUGAAGAAAUCCUUCGGGAUGUAAAGCCCUGUUGUAUGGGAAGAGCGGAAGACGGUACCAUACGAGGAAGCCCCGGCAAACUACGUGCCAGCCGCCGCGGUAAAAC
rnacentral:rRNA from 1 species